GGAGGAACGUGGGAAUUAAUACCCUAUGGUAUUGAUAUUAUGAAUGAUAUCAAAUUAAAGUUUGAGGCGCUGACAGAUGGAUGUGCGUCUGAUUAGCUAGUUGGUAGGGUAACGGCCUACCAAGGCGACGAUCAGUAGGGGGCGUGAGAGCGUGGUCCCCCCACACGGGUACUGAGACACGGACCCGACUCCUACGGGAGGCAGCAGUAAGGAAUAUUGGUCAAUGCCCGCAAGGGUGAACCAGCCAUUCCGCGUGGAGGAUGAAGGCCCUAUGGGUUGUAAACUUCUUUUAGAUGGGAAGAAAAUGCUAGAUGUAUCUGGUACUGACGGUACCAUCAGAAUAAGCACCGGCUAACUCCGUG
rnacentral:rRNA from 1 species